AACGUACCCAGAUCUAAGGAAUAGCCACUGGAAACGGUGAGUAAUACCUUAUACGCCCUUCGGGGGAAAGAUUUAUCGGAUUUGGAUCGGCCCGCGUUAGAUUAGGUAGUUGGUGGGGUAAUGGCCUACCAAGCCUACGAUCUAUAGCUGGUUUUAGAGGAUGAUCAGCAACACUGGGACUGAGACACGGCCCAGACUCCUACGGGAGGCAGCAGUGGGGAAUCUUAGACAAUGGGCGCAAGCCUGAUCUAGCCAUGCCGCGUGAGUGAUGAAGGCCUUAGGGUCGUAAAGCUCUUUCGCCUGUGAUGAUAAUGACAGUAGCAGGUAAAGAAACCCCGGCUAACUCCGUGCCAGCAGCCGCGGUAAUACGGAGGGGGUUAGCGUUGUUCGGAAUUACUGGGCGUAAAGCGCACGUAGGCGGAUUAGAAAGUUAGGGGUGAAAUCCCGGGGCUCAACCUCGGAACUGCCUCUAAAACUCCUAGCCUAGAGUUCGAGAGAGGUGAGUGGAAUUCCAAGUGUAGAGGUGAAAUUCGUAGAUAUUUGGAGGAACACCAGUGGCGAAGGCGGCUCACUGGCUCGAUACUGACGCUGAGGUGCGAAAGUGUGGGGAGCAAACAGGAUUAGAUACCCUGGUAG
rnacentral:rRNA from 1 species